rnacentral:rRNA from 1 species
AGGCCGUCGAGUCUGUGGGGGUAGACGCGAAACCAAGUGAUCUACACUUGUCCAGGUUGAAGUCCCGGUAACACGGGAUGGAGGACCGAACCAAUAAGCGUUGAAAAGCUUCUGGAUGAGAUGAGUGUAGGAGUGAAAGGCCAAUCAAACUUGGAGAUAGCUCGUACUCCCCGAAAGGCAUUUAGGUGCCGCGUCGGAUGUUCAGCGUGAGAGGUAGAGCGACCGAUAGGACAAGAGGGCUUCACCGCCUAUCGAGUCCUGACGAACUCCGAAUGCUCACGCUCCGCAGUCCGGCAGUAAGGGGACGGGUGCUAAGGUCCGUUCCCGAGAGGAGAAGAAUCCAGACCGCCGUCUAAGGUCCCGGAAUUCUGUCUAAGUUAGUCUAACGAAGUGGGGUCUCAGUGACAGCCAGGAUGUUGGCUUGGAAGCAGCCAUUCAUUCAAAGAGUGCGUAACAGCUCACUGGUCGAGAGUCCCUGCAUGGAUAAUAAUCGGGUAUAAGACAGAUACCGAAGGCGCGGGAUAGCAUAUUGAAAAAGUAUCGGUAGGGGAGCAUUCCAUAUGCGUCGAAUGGUGCGGGUAACUGAUCCUGGAGUAUAUGGAAAAGCAAAUGUAGGUAUAAGUAACGAUAAGGAGGGUAAGAUUCCCUCCCGCCGCAAGACUAAGGUUUCCCGGGCAAUGUCAAUCAUCCCGGGGUCAGUCGGGUCCUAAGUCUCAGCCGAACGGCGAGGGCGAUGGCAGACACGGUCAACAUUCCGUGACUACCUUUAGGAGCGAUGCGGAGACGGAGCAGUGACACUUCCGCGAGCCGACGGAAUGGCUCGUUGAAGAGUGUAGACGUUGAUCACGGCAGGCAAAUCCGCCGUGAGAGUCGAACUUGAAAGUACAGGGUCCUCUUCGGAGGAACCUGAUAGCGAGGGUAAGCAUACUCCCGA